rnacentral:rRNA from 1 species
UGGGGAAUAUUGCACAAUGGGCGCAAGCCUGAUGCAGCCAUGCCGCGUGUGUGAAGAAGGCCUUCGGGUUGUAAAGCACUUUCAGCGAGGAGGAGGGUGGUGAGCUUAAUACGCUCAUCAAUUGACGUUACUCGCAGAAGAAGCACCGGCUAACUCCGUGCCAGCAGCCGCGGUAAUACGGAGGGUGCAAGCGUUAAUCGGAAUUACUGGGCGUAAAGCGCACGCAGGCGGUUUGUUAAGUCAGAUGUGAAAUCCCCGGGCUCAACCUGGGAACUGCAUUUGAAACUGGCAAGCUAGAGUCUCGUAGAGGGGGGUAGAAUUCCAGGUGUAGCGGUGAAAUGCGUAGAGAUCUGGAGGAAUACCGGUGGCGAAGGCGGCCCCCUGGACGAAGACUGACGCUCAGGUGCGAAAGCGUGGGGCAGCAAACAGGAUUAGAUACCCUGGUAGUCCAGCGCUGUAAACGAUGUCGAUUUUGGAGGUUGUGCCCUUGAGGCGUGGCUUCCGGAGCUAACGCGUUAAAUCGACCGCCUGGGGAGUACGGCCGC